CGGUGGGUCUAGGCGGGGGGCUAGGGGUCCCCUGAACCGUAAACCCUCUAUACGACGGGCUGAUUGCUGAGGUGAGGCGUUAAAGAUCGUCAGGAAUCUCAGCCUUCUAGCUAUGAAUAUCCGUCCCUCUGGGCUGGCGGUCGUGGGGCAGCUUUCGUAGGGAAGCUGUCAAAUACGUUCACCAGGUGAACUUGGCUAGGCCCGGGAGGGAGCAACCUAAGCUUGGACGUGCUGCGCUUGAGGGGUCGCGGGCAUGAGUAAAGAGGUUGGGAGCUUGACGAAAACUGGACAUCGAGCCUCAGUGACCUGCCG
rnacentral:SRP_RNA from 1 species